UGGGCAUGGCGGGUCUAUAAUGCAGUCGAGCGACGGAUAGGAGCUUGCUCCUUUGAAGUUAGCGGCGGACGGGUGAGAAACACGUGGGUAACCUACCUAUAAGACUGGAAUAACUUCGGGAAACCGGAGCUAAUGCCGGAUAACAUAUAGAACCGCAGGUUCUAUAGUGAAAGAUGGUUUUGCUAUCACUUAUAGAUGGACCCGCGCCGUAUUAGCUAGUUGGUAAGGUAAAGGCUUACCAAGGCGACGAUGCGCACCCCUGAGAGUGUAAUCGGCCCAACAUGGAACGUCACGGUCCAGUUCUACGACGCAGCGUAGGAUCUCCGCAUUGCGAGCUGACGAGCACGGCGGCUGAGGAUGAGUUCGAAUCGUAAAACUCGCUAUAGGGAGAACAAUUGCCGUAGUACUGUGCGCAUCUUGACGGUACCUAUAGAAAGCCAGGCUAACUACGUGGCCAGCAGCCGCGGUAUAACGUAGGUGGCCAGCGUUAUCCGGAAUUAUUGGGCGUAAAGCGCGGGGUAGGCGGUUUCUUAAGUCUGAUGUGAAAGCCCACGGGCUCCACCGUGGAGGGUCAUGGAAACUGGGAACCUGAGUGCAGAAGAGGAAAGUGGAAUUCCAUGUGUAGCGGUGAAAUGCGCAGAGAUAUGGAGGAACACCAGUGGCGGAAGGCGACUUUCUUGUCCUGUAACUGACGCUGAUGUGCGAAAGCGUGGGGAUCAAACAGGAUUAGAUACCCUGGUGGUCCACGCCGUAAACGAUGAGUGCUAAGUGUUAGGGGGUUUCCGCCCCUUAGUGCUGCAGCUAACGCAUUAAGCACUCCGCCUGGGGAGUACGACCGCAAGGUUGAAACUCAAAGGAAUUGACGGGGACCCGCACCAGCGGUGGAGCAUGUGGUUUAAUUCGGAGCAACGCGAAGAACCUUACCAAAUCUUGACAUCCUUUGAAAACUCUAGAGAUAGAGCCUUCCCCUUCGGGGGACAAAGUGACAGGUGGUGCAUGGUUGUUGUCAGCUCGUGUCGUGAGAUGUUGGGUUAAGUCCCGCAACGAGCGCAACCCUUAAGCUUAGUUGCCAUCAUUAAGUUGGGCACUCUAGGUUGACUGCCGGUGACAAACCGGAGGAAGGUGGGGAUGACGUCAAAUCAUCAUGCCCCUUAUGAUUUGGGCUACACACGUGCUACAAUGGACAAUACAAAGGGCAGCUAAACCGCGAGGUCAUGCAAAUCCCAUAAAGUUGUUCUCAGUUCGGAUUGUAGUCUGCAACUCGACUACAUGAAGCUGGAAUCGCUAGUAAUCGUAGAUCAGCCUGCUACGGUGAAUACGUUCCCGGGUCUUGUACACACCGCCCGUCCCCCCCCGAGAGUUUGUAACACCCGAAGCCGGGGAGAACCAUUUAUGAGCAGCCUCGAAGUGACAAAGCAGUGCUACUUAGACA
rnacentral:rRNA from 1 species